AACGCGAAGAACCUUACCUGGUCUUGACAUCCACGGAAUUCGGCAGAGAUGCCUUAGUGCCUUCGGGAACCGUGAGACAGGUGCUGCAUGGCUGUCGUCAGCUCGUGUUGUGAAAUGUUGGGUUAAGUCCCGCAACGAGCGCAACCCUUAUCCUUUGUUGCCAGCGGCUCGGCCGGGAACUCAAAGGAGACUGCCGGUGAUAAACCGGAGGAAGGUGGGGAUGACGUCAAGUCAUCAUGGCCCUUACGACCAGGGCUACACACGUGCUACAAUGGCGCAUACAAAGAGAAGCGACCUCGCGAGAGCAAGCGGACCUCAUAAAGUGCGUCGAUCCGGAUUGGAGUCUGCAACUCGACUCCAUGAAGUCGGAAUCGCUAGUAAUUCGUGGAUCAGAAU
rnacentral:rRNA from 1 species